CCACCCAGGCGUCCCCCAAAACUGCUUUCAAUGAUCAAUCAUGACCUUAUGCUCAGCUUAAAACAUGUGAGGAAAUACAGGGAGGGUUUUACCUUCGCCAGGGCAAAUGCAGGCCUUAGCAAGAAGGCAGGCAUGGAAUUGUCUGGGACAGGAUGAUUUCCGGGAGAAGCUCUGGAAAGGCAGAGGACAUGAUUCAGCCCUAAUUUGGUAAUCUGAAAAGAGAAGUUUUAAGAAUUUUUUGGAAGAUCCUGUAUCCCUUUGAGAAGCUGACGAAAGCGAGAGACUCCUCAGAAAAAUCCACACAAAAAUUUAUGAAAUUAGAUCACAAGUAGGCGGAGAGUGAGGCAGAGAGAGAGAGGAGGAAGCACGCUCCCCGCUGAGCAGAAAACCCCAUGUGGGGCUUGAUCCCAGGACCCUGGGAUCAUGACCUGAGCCGAAGGCAGAGGCUUUAACCCACUGAGCCACCUAGGUGCCCCUAAAUAAAUCUUAAAAAAAAAAAAAUCUCCCCAUCCUCUCCUUCCAGGUGUGCACACACAUUCUCUCUCUCUCUCAAGAAAACAAAAAAAACAAAAACAAAACCUCCAAUCAGAGGUAUCUUUCCAUUGCUUGCCUCUUUAUCAAUGCCUUUCUCAACUCUUUAGGGGGUCAAGGGCUCCUGUGAGAAUCUAAUGGAGGCCAAACAGACCCCUUCCCAUAAAGGUGCAUAUCCAGACCAGUCAUUUGCAUAUGAUUUCAGGGACUCAGUCUGAGGGCUGCCUCUUCGGGCCAUUAGACCCCUCUUCCCAAAACUGUAAGCCUUGUUCUGUGAAGUCUCUUACUUAUUUGCAGCCACCUUUGCUUUGUGUCACUUGUGGAUAAAAAGUCUCUUUGUAAA